GUUGCCGGAGCCAGUGUUGACGUCGGACAUGAUGCCACACUUUGAGGACGUAGCGAUCAUUCCUAACCCCGGGGAGCGCGCCGAGGCCAUGCGCCAGCUGAUCAACCGCCUGCCAACCGCCAACCGCCUGCUGCUACAAUACAUGUUCAAGCAUAUGGGACACAUCAUUGCAAGGCAUCUUGUCAGCCGUCCCAGCCUCUCGUCACCCUAUCCCCGCUGGACUCUGGGUAAAGACGUGACCAACCCCCAGCCUCCAGCCUCUUCUCACACCUCCAAGCCUUUCCCCGCUGGACAUUGCUUCGAGACGUGAUGAACAACAACAGCCUCCAGCAUCUGCCACACCUCCGAGCCUCUCUCCUCGUCAUUUGCCCGGUGGACCCUGGACGAGGAGGACGUGAGUAAGAGGAGGUGAAGAUGAAGACGAGGAAUAAAUGAAACCACUACAUGCCUGAGAUGCCCCGCCCCGCCCCAGCCCACCAUCAUGACCUGCCCGCCCCCCUGGC